rnacentral:lncRNA from 1 species
CAGACCCCAAGAAAGAAAUCAAGAAUGGCAACUGAAAUUUGUCAUGCUUGAAGCAGCACCUCCUGGAAGACCUAUGAGUUUUGCUCAAGAAACUUUUGGGAACCAAUAAAACUAAACUAUAGUGAUGAAUAUAUAUACAUAUUUUUUGAGCAGGAUAACAUUGCCAGGAAACUUGAAUGUUACUCUUCAAGUAUGGGAUGUAGGGGGUGCGUACAAUAGGCGGCAAGAAGGUGGAUGCAUUUAUCUAUGGACCACAGAGAAUCCUCUUGUUACAAAUUAGCAAAGCUUGGAGAAUUUAAAAGAUUGGUACAUUGUACUGAAGAAAGUGAGCGAAGAGUCAGAAGCUUUGCUACUGGUUGCCUUGGUGAGCAAUAAAAUUUAUUUGGAGCACAUGGAAACAGUAAAACCUGAAAAACACUUAUGGUUUUGCCAGGAAAAUGGUUUUAGUAGCCACUUUAUCUCAGCCAAGACAGGAGACUGUCUUCCUGUAUUUUCAGAAAGUUGCUAAUGAAAUCCUUGGACUCAAAUUAAACAAAGCAGAAAAAUAGAAGAGUCAGAGAGUGGUGAAGGCAGGUAUUGGAAACUACAACCAGGCCCCCAGAAUGGUGACUCUUCCUACAAGCUCUAUGUCUGCAUCCGUG